GAUGAACGCUGGCGGCGUGCUUAACACAUGCAAGUCGAACGAAGCUGCUAAAAGGAAGUCUUCGGAUGGAAUUUUGGUAGACUUAGUGGCGGACGGGUGAGUAACGCGUGGAUAACCUGCCUUAUACAGGGGGAUAACGGAGAGAAAUUUCCGCUAAGACCGCAUAAGACCACAGCACCGCAUGGUGCAGGGGUAAAAUAUUUAUAGGUAUAAGAUGGAUCCGCGUCCGAUUAGCUGGUUGGUGAGGUAGAGGCUCACCAAGGCGACGAUCGGUAGCCGGCCUGAGAGGGUGAACGGCCACAUUGGGACUGAGACACGGCCCAAACUCCUACGGGAGGCAGCAGUGGGGAAUAUUGGACAAUGGGGGAAACCCUGAUCCAGCGACGCCGCGUGAGUGAAGAAGUAUUUCGGUAUGUAAAGCUCUAUCAGCGGGGAAGAAAAUGACGGUACCUGACUAAGAAGCCCCGGCUAACUACGUGCCAGCAGCCGCGGUAAUACGUAGGGGGCAAGCGUUAUCCGGAUUUACUGGGUGUAAAGGGAGCGCAGACGGCGAAGCAAGUCUGAAGUGAAAUGCAUGGGCUCAACCCAUGAAUUGCUUUGGAAACUGUUUGGCUUGAGUGUCGGAGGGGUAAGCGGAAUUCCUAGUGUAGCGGUGAAAUGCGUAGAUAUUAGGAGGAACACCGGAGGCGAAGGCGGCUUACUGGACGACAACUGACGUUGAGGCUCGAAGGCGUGGGGAGCAAACAGG
rnacentral:rRNA from 1 species